rnacentral:lncRNA from 10 species
GCUCAACAUCCCCAAAGUGCUGCUGCCCUUCACGCGGGCCACGCGCGUUAACUUCACGCUGGAGGCCUCGGAGGGCUGCUACCGCUGAGUGCACUCCAGCCCUUGUUGCCCAGGCUGGAGUGCAAUGGCGCGAUCUCUGUCCACUGCAACUUCCGCCUCCCCGGUUCAAGCGAUUCUCCUGCCUCAGCCUCCCGAGUAGCUGGGAUUACAGGCGCCCGCCACAACACCCAGCUAGUUUUUUGCAUUUUAGUAGAGACGGGGUUUCACUAUGUUGGCCAGGCUGGUCUCAAACUCUGGAUUCACUGUGUUGGCCAGGCUGGUCUUGAACUCCUCAAGACCAAGGAGAACUCCUCAAGCGAUCCACCUGCCUCAGCUUCCCAAAAUGCUGAGAUUACAGGCGUGAGCCACCAUGCCUGGCUUGUCUGGCCAAUUUUUGUAUUUUUAGUAAAGAUGGGGUUUCACUAUGUUGGUCAGGCUGGUCUCGAACUCCUGACCUCAAGUGAUCCCGCCGCCUCUGCCUCCCAAAGUGCUGGGAUUACAGGCGUGAGCCACUGCACCCGGCCUGCCCUAUUUCUUUUUUGAAGGUCUCCUUCCUGAAAUCAAGACGUACUAGGUCAGCCCAUUGCAUUUUGGUUUUAGUGCUUUAUGCACCUGGAGGCUCCUAUUUCUGGCCUGAUGCCAGAGGCUGAACUUGGGCAUUAGGUUUUCUGUAUCCCAGUCUAAGGCCUAGUCUUGUGUGGGAAAAUCAGC